GACGAACGCUGGCGGCGUGCCUAAUACAUGCAAGUCGAACGCAGUGGGGACGGGUGAGUAACACGUGGGUAACCUCCCAUCAGAGGGGAUAACACUUGGAAACAGGUGCUAAACCGAUACAGAGGGAUGGACACGCGGUGCAUUAGCUAGUUGGUGAGGUAACUGCUCACCAAGGCCACGAUGCAUAGCCGGCCUGAGAGGAUGAUCAGCCACACUGGGACUGAGACACGGCCCAGACUCCUACGGGAGGCAGCAGUGGGGAUUCUUCGGCAAUGGGCGAAAGUCUGACCGAGCAACGCCGCGUGGGUGAAGAAGGUUUUCGGAUCGUAAAGCUCUGUUGUUAGGGAGGCGGUAUCUAACCAGAAAGCCACGGCUAACUACGUGCCAGCAGCCGCGGUAAUUC
rnacentral:rRNA from 1 species